rnacentral:hammerhead_ribozyme from 1 species
AUCCAACUGACGAGUCCCAAAUAGAACGAAACGUGUGUCAAACUGGAU